ACUUGAAUAAUAAUUAUGUUUUAUUAUACAGUUUUAUUAUUAAUAACUGUAUUAUUUAUUAUAAGUUGUAGUGGUACUGUAGAAGACGAUAAUGACGUAGCAAAGUGCAUUGCUGAUUUAAAGAAAGCUGGAAUUUCGGGAAAAAUUGGAUUUAUAAACUACUGCUUUGCAAUGCAAUUUAAGUUUUCAGAUGAUGAUGAACAUUUGACUCACGAAGAAAGUUUGGAUCAAAUAAAAAAACAUAACAAUAUUACAGAAUUAAGCAAACACGUAGAAAAAUUUUUCAGAGAUAGUUGGGAAUUAUCUAAAAUGGUUGGAAGAGUACUUUUUACACCGUACGAAUUUUGUGAUGACCAUUAUAGGACAAAGCAUCCUGUUUAUUCUGUAUUAUUCUCUAUUGAAAAAAGUAAGUCCACUAAAUUUACACAUUUAAUUUAUAAACAUUCUAUAAAUAGACAUAUUCAUAUUACAAAAAAGGUUAAUGCACGUUUCAGUAUAUACAAUUGUUGAAUGAAAUAACGUGUGCGUCUUUGUGAUAAACUUAAGGAUAGUUACUAUACAAAAAUAGCAUAUCCUUUAGGUGCUAUAUAAACAGUGUAUUUACUGUGUGGAUAUUAUUCAGUUCAGUACAUAUUCUAAUAGUUUAUGAUUCAUAAUACUAAUUAACUACUAUUACGGUUAAAUAUUUAAAGGUGUUGUUGAUUGUGAAGACAAAAUAAGAAGCAAAGAAAAGG
rnacentral:misc_RNA from 1 species